rnacentral:rRNA from 1 species
GAGUUUGAUCAUGGCUCAGAACGAACGCUGGCGGCGCGCCUAAUACAUGCAAGUCGAGCGAGAAGGUGUAGCAAUACACUUGUAAAGCGGCGAACGGGUGAGGAAUGCAUGGGUAACCUACCCUCGAGUGGGGAAUAACUAGCCGAAAGGUUAGCUAAUACCGCAUACGUUCCGGAACUUCGGUUUCGGAAAGAAAGCAAUACCGUGGGUAUUGCGCUCCUGGAUGGGCUCAUGUCCUAUCAGCUUGUUGGUGAGGUAACGGCUCACCAAGGCUUCGACGGGUAGCUGGUCUGAGAGGACGAUCAGCCACACUGGCACUGCGACACGGGCCAGACUCCUACGGGAGGCAGCAGUAAGGAAUAUUGCGCAAUGGACGAAAGUCUGACGCAGCGACGCCGCGUGGGGGAUGAAGGUCUUCGGAUUGUAAACCCCUUUCGGAGGGAAGAUGGAGUGGGUAACCACUUGGACGGUACCUCCAGAAGCAGCCACGGCUAACUUCGUG